rnacentral:rRNA from 1 species
AGCCUGAACGCUGGCGGCGUGGCUAAGACAUGCAAGUCGCACGGGGUAGCAAUACCCAGUGGCGAACGGGAGAGUAAUGAAUCGCUAAUGUACCCCCGGACUCUGGGAUAGCUACCCGAAAGGGUAGGUAAUACCAGAUGACAUAACCCUGUCGCAUGACGGGGUUCUCAAAGGUCCGCCGGUCCGGAGCAGGCGAUUUCGUAUCAGCUAGUUGGGUCGGGUAACGGCCCACCAAGGCGACGACGCGUAGCCGGACUGAGAGGUUCGGCCGGCCUCAUUGGGACCUGGAGACACUGCCCAGACUCCGUACGGGGGCUGGCAGUAACGAAUCGUUCC